ensembl:snRNA U2 U2 spliceosomal RNA
AUGGCUUCUCGGCUUUUUGGCUAAGAUCACUCGUAGUAUCUGUCCUUAUAAGUUUAAUAUCUGAUACGUCCUCCCUCCGAGGACAAUAUAGUAAAUGGAUUUUUGGAGCAAGGAGAUGGAAGAGGAGUAUGCUCCGUCCACUCCACCCAUCGACCUGACACUGCAGUACCACCAGGAAUGGUGCACCCUUC